rnacentral:rRNA from 3 species
UGGGGAAUAUUGGACAAUGGGGGCAACCCUGAUCCAGCCAUGCCGCGUGAGUGAUGAAGGCCCUAGGGUUGUAAAGCUCUUUUGUGCGGGAAGAUAAUGACGGUACCGCAAGAAUAAGCCCCGGCUAACUUCGUGCCAGCAGCCGCGGUAAUACGAAGGGGGCUAGCGUUGCUCGGAAUCACUGGGCGUAAAGGGUGCGUAGGCGGGUCUUUAAGUCAGGGGUGAAAUCCUGGAGCUCAACUCCAGAACUGCCUUUGAUACUGAAGAUCUUGAGUUCGGGAGAGGUGAGUGGAACUGCGAGUGUAGAGGUGAAAUUCGUAGAUAUUCGCAAGAACACCAGUGGCGAAGGCGGCUCACUGGCCCGAUACUGACGCUGAGGCACGAAAGCGUGGGGAGCAAACAGG